CCUACGGGAGGCAGCAGUGGGGAAUAUUGCACAAUGGGGGAAACCCUGAUGCAGCGACGCCGCGUGAGUGAUGAAGUAUUUCGGUAUGUAAAGCUCUAUCAGCAGGGAAGAAAAUGACGGUACCUGAGUAAGAAGCCCCGGCUAACUACGUGCCAGCAGCCGCGGUAAU
rnacentral:rRNA from 1 species